rnacentral:rRNA from 1 species
GACGAACGCUGGCGGCGUGCCUAAUACAUGCAAGUUGAGCGCUGAAGGUUGGUACUUGUACCAACUGGAUGAGCAGCGAACGGGUGAGUAACGCGUGGGGAAUCUGCCUUUGAGCGGGGGACAACAUUUGGAAACGAAUGCUAAUACCGCAUAAAAACUUUAAACACAAGUUUUAAGUUUGAAAGAUGCAAUUGCAUCACUCAAAGAUGAUCCCGCGUUUUAUUAGCUAGUUGGUGAGGUAAAGGCUCACCAAGGCGAAGAUACAUAGCCGACCUGAGAGGGUGGUCGGCCACAUUGGGACUGGGAAACGGCCCAAACUCCUUCGGGAGGCAGCAGGAGGGUAUCUUCGGCAAUGGACGAAAGUCUGACCGAGCAACGACGCGUGAGUGAAGAAGGUUUUCGGAUCGUAAAACUCUGUUGGUAGAGAAGAACGUUGGUGAGAGUGGAAAGCUCAUCAAGUGACGGUAACUACCCAGAAAGGGACGGCUAACUACGUG